rnacentral:rRNA from 1 species
GUGGGGGAUCUUCCGCAAUGGGCGCAAGCCUGACGGAGCAAUGCCGCGUGAGUGAAGAAGGCCUUCGGGUUGUAAAGCUCUGUCCUUAGGGAAGAACGGAUUGUAUGUGAAAAAUGUACAGUAGUGACGGUACCUAUGGAGGAAGCCCCGGCUAACUACGUGCCAGCAGCCGCGGUAAUACGUAGGGGGCGAGCGUUGUCCGGAAUCACUGGGCGUAAAGCGCGCGUAGGCGGAUUUUUAAGUCAGAUGUGAAAACCUUGGGCUCAACCCAAAGACUGCAUCUGAAACUGGAAGUCUUGAGUGUAGAAGAGGAGAGUGGAAUUCCUAGUGUAGCGGUGAAAUGCGUAGAUAUUAGGAGGAACACCAGUGGCGAAGGCGACUCUCUGGUCUAUAACUGACGCUGAGGUGCGAAAGCGUGGGGAGCAAACAGG